GCUAGCGUAGCUUAACUAAAGCAUAACACUGAAGAUGUUAAGAUGAGCCUUAGGCAGCUCCGCAGGCA
rnacentral:tRNA from 2 species